GAUGAACGCUGGCGGCGUGCCUAACACAUGCAAGUCGAACGGAGUCCAGCCUUAGAGACCUUCGGGUCGAAGAGGGGAAGACUGAGUGGCGGACGGGUGAGUAACACGUGGGCAACCUGGCUCAUAGAGGGGGAUAACAGAGAGAAAUUUCUGCUAAUACCGCAUAAGCACACACUGCCGCAUGGCAGAGUGUGAAAAGAGAAUCGCUAUGAGAUGGACCCGCGUCUGAUUAGCCAGUUGGCAGGGUAAGAGCCUACCAAAGCGACGAUCAGUAGCCGAUUUGAGAGGAUGAACGGCCACAUUGGGACUGAGACACGGCCCAAACUCCUACGGGAGGCAGCAGUGGGGGAUAUUGCACAAUGGGGGGAACCCUGAUGCAGCGACGCCGCGUGAGUGAAGAAGUAUUUCGGUAUGUAAAGCUCUAUCAGCAGGGAAGAUAAUGACAGUACCUGAAUAAGAAGCCCCGGCUAACUACGUG
rnacentral:rRNA from 1 species